CCUACGGGACGCAGCAGUGAGGAAUAUUGGUCAAUGGCCGGAAGGCUGAACCAGCCAAGCCGCGUGAAGGACGACGGUGCCAAGCAUUGUAAACUUCUUUUGUCAAGGGACAAAAUCAGGCUCGAGAGCCUGACCGAGGGUACUUGAAGAAAAAGCAUCGGCUAACUCCGUGCCAGCAGCCGCGGUAAUACGGAGGAUGCGAGCGUUAUCCGGAUUCAUUGGGUUUAAAGGGUGCGCAGGCGGGCCUUUAGGCCAGCGGUGAAAUUGCGGGGCUCAACCCCGCCGAGCCG
rnacentral:rRNA from 1 species